rnacentral:rRNA from 1 species
UACGGAAGGCAGCAGUGGGGAAUAUUGCACAAUGGGCGCAAGCCUGAUGCAGCCAUGCCGCGUGUAUGAAGAAGGCCUUCGGGUUGUAAAGUACUUUCAGUCGUGAGGAAGGUGUUAAGGUUAAUAACCUUAGCAAUUGACGUUAGCGACAGAAGAAGCACCGGCUAACUCCGUGCCAGCAGCCGCGGUAAUACGGAGGGUGCGAGCGUUAAUCGGAAUUACUGGGCGUAAAGGGCACGCAGGCGGUUAAUUAAGUUGGAUGUGAAAUCCCCGGGCUUAACCUGGGAAUGGCAUUCAAGACUGGUUAGCUAGAGUCUUGUAGAGGGGGUAGAAUUCCAUGUGUAGCGGUGAAAUGCGUAGAGAUGUGGAGGAAUACCGGCGGCGAAAGGCGGCCCCUGGACAAAGACUGACGCUCAUGUGCGAAAGCGUGGGGAGCAAA